GGAAUCUUCCACAAUGGACGAAAGUCUGAUGGAGCAACGCCGCGUGAGUGAAGAAGGGUUUCGGCUCGUAAAACUCUGUUGUUAAAGAAGAACAUAUCUGAGAGUAACUGUUCAGGUAUUGACGGUAUUUAACCAGAAAGCCACGACUAACUACGUGCCAG
rnacentral:rRNA from 1 species